AGUGAACGCUGGCGGUAGGCCUAACACAUGCAAGUCGAACGGCAGCACAGUAAGAGCUUGCUCUUACGGGUGGCGAGUGGCGGACGGGUGAGGAAUACAUCGGAAUCUACUUUUUCGUGGGGGAUAACGUAGGGAAACUUACGCUAAUACCGCAUACGACCUACGGGUGAAAGCAGGGGAUCUUCGGACCUUGCGCGAUUGAAUGAGCCGAUGUCGGAUUAGCUAGUUGGCGGGGUAAAGGCCCACCAAGGCGACGAUCCGUAGCUGGUCUGAGAGGAUGAUCAGCCACACUGGAACUGAGACGCGGUCCAGUCUCCUACGGGAGGCAGCAGUGGGGAAUAUUGGACAAUGGGCGCAAGCCUGAUCCAGCCAUACCGCGUGGGUGAAGAAGGCCUUCGGGUUGUAAAGCCCUUUUGUUAGGAAAGAAAAGCAGCAGGUUAAUACCCCGCUGUUCUGACGGUACCCAAAGAAUAAGCACCGGCUAACUUCGUG
rnacentral:rRNA from 1 species